rnacentral:rRNA from 1 species
GUGGGGAAUAUUGGACAAUGGGCGAAAGCCUGAUCCAGCCAUGCCGCGUGUGUGAAGAAGGUCUUCGGAUUGUAAAGCACUUUAAGUUGGGAGGAAGGGCAGUAAGUUAAUACCUUGCUGUUUUGACGUUACCGACAGAAUAAGCACCGGCUAACUUCGUGCCAGCAGCCGCGGUAAUACGAAGGGUGCAAGCGUUAAUCGGAAUUACUGGGCGUAAAGCGCGCGUAGGUGGUUUUGUAAGUUGGAGGUGAAAUCCCCGGACUCAACCUGGGAACUGCCUCCAAAACUGCAUGACUAGAGUACGGUAGAGGGUAGUGGAAUUUCCUGUGUAGCGGUGAAAUGCGUAGAUAUAGGAAGGAACACCAGUGGCGAAGGCGACUACCUGGACUGAUACUGACACUGAGGUGCGAAAGCGUGGGGAGCAAACAGGAUUAGAUACCCCUGUAGUCC